rnacentral:rRNA from 1 species
UACGUAGGGGGCUAGCGUUGUCCGGAAUCAUUGGGCGUAAAGCGCGUGUAGGCGGUCCGGUAAGUCCGCUGUGAAAGUCGGGGGCUCAACCCUCGAAUGCCGGUGGAUACUGUCGGGCUAGAGUGCGGAAGAGGCGAGUGGAAUUCCUGGUGUAGCGGUGAAAUGCGUAGAUAUUGGGAAGAACACCGGAGGCGAAGGCGGGUUGCUGGGCCGACACUGACGCUGAGGCGCGAAAGCCAGGGGAGCGAACGGG